UCAUGGCCCUGGCUCAGGCAUU
rnacentral:misc_RNA from 1 species